rnacentral:lncRNA from 1 species
AUAUACUGCCGUGAACUCUUCCCGUUUAAUGAUCUCAGCCGCCAUCAUGAACAGUUUUCCUCUCAAAAUACAAAUGUGUAGCAGACCAAAAUUUUUGUUUGUUUUUUACCAGUUUACCAGUUUGUUCUCAUAAAUUUCACAUGUGGACAAAAGUUACAAAGUCAUUAUCUUAUACAUUCAUAUUUGCUAUGGAGAAAGAAACUGUUUGAUACGUGUGUCUUAUGUCCUUUCCUAUAUGUUAUGUAAUGAAUGAAAAAUAUUAAUGAUGUCUCUUUAGGUGUGUUUUGGUUUUUGACAGCUUAAUAGCUAGUUAGUAUGGUAAAAGAAAUAAUAUAUAUUUUGUCAAUUAGACAAAAACCAGCAUAUUUGAAUUUUUUGUCCUUUGUAAAGGCCUGUGUUCACUCACUGUAUAUAUCGAUGUUUCUAAUCAAUCUAAUUUGGAGGAAGGGAUAAAAGAAUUAAAUCAUUCACAUCAUUAUUUUGUAAAAGGGUUAUAACAAGCAAAGAGCCCUUUAUUUUCAAAUAAGUGGUUGUUAGAAUUAAGCUUUUUUUUUCCUGGAAGCUCCAAGUGUCUGAGUUCAUGUUGCUCAAAUGCUGUCCGUGGUGCUGAGCACAGUAUAGAUUCCAUCAGUAUUUGUAGAAUGACUUACUGGUGUGUGUGUGUAGACCCAGCUCUCCUGACUGAUGGCACAGAGCAGAAUCCAGGCAGUUUGCGUCAGUGAUAGAUCUGAAGUCCUCCCUCGAUUACCUACACCAGCGUGCCCUCUAUUUCUGACCUUCAGCAUCCCCUUCAAGUCUUUGUCUCACUUGUACUACGUGUAAAUAUGAAAAAUAGUUUCCUUUAUAUCUGAUCAAUAUUUUUUAACCUUGGCCUCAUCCUGAGCAAGAGUAUUCAUGAAAGGAGGUGACAAUCUAAACAUGAUACCUGGUGUCCAAGGAGCUUACAGAGUAGUACACACUUUUGAUGUAAACUGCUUUGCAUGCAAGAUUUUAACACUUGCUAGCCUACCGUGUCAGUCUCCUAGAACAAGCGUCAGAUUUAGAGGAGAUUAAAGUCUCAACCUUCCCACUUAUCAACAUUCACUUAUUUGAGUUGAUUAACCUAUUGUAUUUGUCCAGUCUCUCUCUUAGUGACAAAAACCCAACUCAAGCUUAAGAAAAAAGGGGGAGAACUGUUGAGCUCUGGCAAUUUAUAAAAGACUGAGGUUUCUGGUCACAGUGAAGGGUGGACCCAGAGACUCAACGCCAUCAGAACUUGGACUCUGCACGUCAGACCAGCUUGUCUCUGUGCUGGUUUCGUUCUCAGCAGUCAUUUCUACAAUGUGGAAAGGAGGCUGCUGGCCAUCCCAAAUGAGAACGCUAUCUCAGGCAAGAGGCAGUGCGUGGAGGCAUGGUCUAACCUCCUCUGACUGGGAGCUCUUCUAACUCUUUUCCUAAGGGAGAAAGAAAUGAAGUCAAGUCUUUGUAGCAGUCAUUUAGAGAUCUAUUCUCUGAGAUCAGACAGACUACGUGGGACUGGAAGAUUUGAAGGUUCUUAUUUGGAGUUUGUUUUCAUUUAUCUUUUAAUGUUGAAUAUUCGUGUGCUCUAUCCUUAAAGUUAUUUGCCCUGAGCAAAAAAAGGGGGCGGGGAACAGUUUUAAAAGACUUUGUAUUAAAAGCACAAUUGACAAAGACUACAUAAACUGGACUUCAUUGAAAUAAAAGUUUCCAGAAGAAUUUUCUAGAAAUUGGAAACAAUCCAAAUGUCCGUCAACCUAUGAAUGGAUAAACAAAUCAGGUAUAUCCAUAAAAUGGAAUAAUAUUUUUCCAUAAAAAGGAAUGAAGUAUAGGAAUGUUACAAUUUGGAUGAGCCCUGAAAGCAUUAUACUGAGUGAUAGAAUCCAGUUACAAAGGCCACAUAUUGUAUGACUCCAUUUUAUAUAAAUAUCC